CUAAGCUUUCAAAACAUUUGUGCUCUAAGCGGUCAGAUGAUCUACCAUGGAACUGACACCUAUCGUGGAGGAACACUGAAACAUAACAGGAAAUGAUAAAGGAAGCUCCAAGCUGAAAAAAGACCACUAAGAAAUGCAAAGGUAUUUCUGACAGCUGAAAUUAAAUGAAGGAAGAAAAUCUGAACAUGUAAAAAUGAAUUAACAAGCAAUUAGAACUUGUUGAAAGGUGUGCACUCGACCGGAUAUUGAGCAGUAUAUGAAAUCAACAUUUUGCAUGGAAGAAGAACUCCAAAUCUAGAGUUUCAACAACAGUUUUACCUAAGAUUUCCAGCCAGUACAAAAAAAAAAACAUUUACUUAGUUUGGUGUAUUGAGUACAGGGUGUGGAUCAGCAAUAAUUACUUGUAUAAAAUGCGAAAAUAACAUUGGAAGUUCUCUCACACCUGCUGUUGGCUGAAUUGUGAAUGCAUGAUGAGUUUGUAGAAAAUUUAACUGGAACUCAAAAUCAACUGGACAGCUGCAGCACAAAGGGAUGGUGAUUUCCUUGCUGCAAAGUUUGGAAAAAUAAUACAAUUAACAUCUGUAGUCAAAUACAGGUUGUGUUAUACAUGUAAAGGCAAACAAAUAGGUCAAUCUCUAUAGCUAUCUGAUACAAAGAUCAUUCAGAACUAUAAAAUAUGUUAAAAUACAAGUAAAUUCAGCUAUCUAGCAAUAACAUGAGGUCCUUCAAAUGUGUUAUGUGUAUUAUUUAAAACGUGCUGCAUAAAAAGAUACCAAAGCUAUUGAAUUUUGUAAAAAGAAAAACAGGGAUGCACUUUCACACUAAAUUCUGAAAGUUAUGGAAAUAUCCUCUUCCAUAUAUAGUCAUUAAACUUCAAUAUUGAGUUUUAUGCAGGACAAAAUAUCUGGCAGAUAAAAUUGAAAGAGAAGAACAGUUGAGAAAAACCGAGAGAAGGAGGUUUAUAGAAGAGUUCAUAAAAGAAGUUCCAUAUCAGGAUAUUUUCAGAAAACAAAUGUUAGUUAUUAAGAAUUAUAAUGUUUUUUUGAUUCUU